rfam:Exiguobacterium sp. AT1b, complete genome.
UCUGGUGGCGAUAGCGAGACGGCCACACCCGUUCCCAUGCCGAACACGGAAGUUAAGCGUCUCAGCGCCGAAAGUAGUUGGGGGAUCUCCCCCUGUGAGGAUAGGACGUUGCCAGGC